GUGGGGAAUAUUGGACAAUGGGCGAAAGCCUGAUCCAGCCAUGCCGCGUGUGUGAAGAAGGUCUUCGGAUUGUAAAGCACUUUAAGUUGGGAGGAAGGGCAGUAAGUUAAUACCUUGCUGUUUUGACGUUACCGACAGAAUAAGCACCGGCUAACUUCGUGCCAGCAGCCGCGGUAAUACGAAGGGUGCAAGCGUUAAUCGGAAUUACUGGGCGUAAAGCGCGCGUAGGUGGUUUUGUAAGUUGGAGGUGAAAUCCCCGGUCUCAACCUGGGAACUGCCUCCAAAACUGCAUGACUAGAGUACGGUAGAGGGUAGUGGAAUUUCCUGUGUAGCGGUGAAAUGCGUAGAUAUAGGAAGGAACACCAGUGGCGAAGGCGACUACCUGGACUGAUACUGACACUGAGGUGCGAAAGCGUGGGGAGCAAACAGGAUUAGAAACCCUAGUAGUCC
rnacentral:rRNA from 1 species